rnacentral:rRNA from 1 species
UAGUUGCAAGGUAUAGACCCGAAACCCGGUGAUCUAGCCAUGGGCAGGUUGAAGGUUGGGUAACACUAACUGGAGGACCGAACCGACUAAUGUUGAAAAAUUAGCGGAUGACUUGUGGCUGGGGGUGAAAGGCCAAUCAAACCGGGAGAUAGCUGGUUCUCCCCGAAAGCUAUUUAGGUAGCGCCUCGUGAACUCAUCUUCGGGGGUAGAGCACUGUUUCGGCUAGGGGGCCAUCCCGGCUUACCAAACCGAUGCAAACUCCGAAUACCGAAGAAUGUUAUCACGGGAGACACACGGCGGGUGCUAACGUCCGUCGUGAAGAGGGAAACAACCCAGACCGCCAGCUAAGGUCCCAAAGUCAUGGUUAAGUGGGAAACGAUGUGGGAAGGCAUAGACAGCCAGGAUGUUGGCUUAGAAGCAGCCAUCAUUUAAAGAAAGCGUAAUAGCUCACUGGUCGAGUCGGCCUGCGCGGAAGAUGUAACGGGGCUAAACCAUGCACCGAAGCUGCGGCAGCGACGCUUAGCGUUGUUGGGUAGGGGAGCGUUCUGUAAGCCGUUGAAGGUGGCCUGUGAGGGUUGCUGGAGGUAUCAGAAGUGCGAAUGCUGACAUAAGUAACGAUAAAGCGGGUGAAAAGCCCGCUCGCCGGAAGACCAAGGGUUCCUGUCCAACGUUAAUCGGGGCAGGGUGAGUCGACCCCUAAGGCGAGGCUGAAAAGCGUAGUCGAUGGGAAACAGGUUAAUAUUCCUGUACUUGGUGUUACUGCGAAGGGGGGACGGAGAAGGCUAGGCUAGCCGGGCGACGGUUGUCCCGGUUUAAGCGUGUAGGGGGUGUGACCUGGUAAAUCCGGUUGCAUA